CAGUAGCCGCGGUAAUACGAAGGGUGCAAGCGUUAAUCGGAAUUACUGGGCGUAAAGCGUGCGUAGGCGGUUUGUUAAGUCGGAUGUGAAAUCCCUGAGCUUAACUUAGGAAUUGCAUUCGAUACUGGGAAGCUAGAGUAUGGGAGAGGAUGGUAGAAUUCCAGGUGUAGCGGUGAAAUGCGUAGAGAUCUGGAGGAAUACCGAUGGCGAAGGCAGCCAUCUGGCCUAAUACUGACGCUGAGGUACGAAAGCAUGGGGAGCAAACAGGAUUAGAUACCCCCGUAGUCCCUGUCUCUUAUAC
rnacentral:rRNA from 1 species